rnacentral:rRNA from 1 species
GAUGAACGCUGGCGGCGUGCCUAAUACAUGCAAGUCGAACGGGGAGUAGCAAUACUCUUAGUGGCGAACGGGUGAGUAACGCGUUGGUACCUGCCCCGAAGCGGGGGAUAACGGACCGAAAGGUCCGCUAAUACCCCAUGUGCUCGGUAACGAGUAAAGGUGAAAACCACGUUGGGAGGGGCCUGCGUCCCUUCAGCUAGUUGGUAAGGUAACGGCUUACCAAGGCGAUGACGGGUAGGGGACCUGAGAGGGUGGCCCCCCACAAUGGAACUGAGACACGGUCCAGACACCUACGGGUGGCAGCAGUAGGGAAUAUUGGUAAUGGGCGCAAGCCUGAACCAGCAACGGCGCGUGUGCGAUGACGGCCUUCGUGUUGUAAAGCUCUUUUGACUGGGACGAGGAAGGACGGUACCGGUCGAAUCAGCCUCGGCUAACUACGUG